UACGUAGGGUGCAAGCGUUGUCCGGAAUUAUUGGGCGUAAAGAGCUCGUAGGCGGUCUGUCGCGUCGGCUGUGAAAACCCGCGGCUCAACCUCGGGCCUGCAGUCGAUACGGGCAGACUAGAGUGCGGUAGGGGAGACUGGAAUUCCUGGUGUAGCGGUGAAAUGCGCAGAUAUCAGGAGGAACACCGGUGGCGAAGGCGGGUCUCUGGGCCGAUACUGACGCUGGAGGAGCGAAAGCGUGGGGAGCGAACAGG
rnacentral:rRNA from 1 species